AGACCCGAAACCCGGUGAUCUAGCCAUGGGCAGGUUGAAGGUUGGGUAACACUAACUGGAGGACCGAACCGACUAAUGUUGAAAAAUUAGCGGAUGACCUGUGGCUGGGGGUGAAAGGCCAAUCAAACCGGGAGAUAGCUGGUUCUCCCCGAAAGCUAUUUAGGUAGCGCCUCGUGAAUUCAUCUCCGGGGGUAGAGCACUGUUUCGGCUAGGGGGCCAUCCCGGCUUACCAACCCGAUGCAAACUGCGAAUACCGGAGAAUGUUAUCACGGGAGACACACGGCGGGUGCUAACGUCCGUCGUGAAGAGGGAAACAACCCAGACCGCCAGCUAAGGUCCCAAAGUCAUGGUUAAGUGGGAAACGAUGUGGGAAGGCCCAGACAGCCAGGAUGUUGGCUUAGAAGCAGCCAUCAUUUAAAGAAAGCGUAAUAGCUCACUGGUCGAGUCGGCCUGCGCGGAAGAUGUAACGGGGCUAAACCAUGCACCGAAGCUGCGGCAGCGACACUGUGUGUUGUUGGGUAGGGGAGCGUUCUGUAAGCCUGCGAAGGUGGCCUGUGAGGGUUGCUGGAGGUAUCAGAAGUGCGAAUGCUGACAUAAGUAACGAUAAAGCGGGUGAAAAGCCCGCUCGCCGGAAGACCAAGGGUUCCUGUCCAACGUUAAUCGGGGCAGGGUGAGUCGACCCCUAAGGCGAGGCCGAAAGGCGUAGUCGAUGGGAAACGGGUUAAUAUUCCCGUACUUGGUGUUACUGCGAAGGGGGGACGGAGAAGGCUAUGUUGGCCGGGCGACGGUUGUCCCGGUUUAAGCGUGUAGGUGUGUGUUCCAGGUAAAUCCGGUUCACUUUAACACUGAGGCGUGAUGACGAGGCACUACGGUGCUGAAGCAACAAAUGCCCUGCUUCCAGGAAAAGCCUCUAAGCAUCAGGUAACACGAAAUCGUACCCCAAACCGACACAGGUGGUCAGGUAGAGAAUACCAAGGCGCUUGAGAGAACUCGGGUGAAGGAACUAGGCAA
rnacentral:rRNA from 1 species